GAUGAACGCUGGCGGCGUGCCUAAUACAUGCAAGUCGAGCGAACGGACGAGAAGCUUGCUUCGCUGAUGUUAGCGGCGGACGGGUGAGUAACACGUGGAUAACCUACCUAUAAGACUGGGAUAACUUCGGGAAACCGGAGCUAAUACCGGAUAAUAUUUUGAACCGCAUGGUUCAAAAGUGAAAGACGGUCUUGCUGUCACUUAUAGAUGGAUCCGCGCUGCAUUAGCUAGUUGGUAAGGUAACGGCUUACCAAGGCAACGAUGCAUAGCCGACCUGAGAGGGUGAUCGGCCACACUGGAACUGAGACACGGUCCAGCCUCCUACGGGAGACAGCAGUAGGGUAUCUUCCGCAAUGGGCGAAAGCCUGACGGAGCAACGCCGCGUGAGUGAUGAAGGUCUUCGGAUCGUAAAACUCUGUUAUUAGGGAAGAACAUAUGUGUAAGUAACUGUGCACAUCUUGACGGUACCUAAUCAGAAAGCCACGGCUAACUACGUG
rnacentral:rRNA from 1 species